rnacentral:pre_miRNA from 1 species
GUUACCCAGGAAUCUUGUUAAAAUGCAUAUUUUGAUGCAGCAGGUCUGGAUCUCUCACAAGAUUCUGCAUUUCUAACAAGCUCCCAGGUGAUGCAGA